GCCUUCGUGGUGUAGUGGCCAGCACGCUUGACGUGUAACCGAGAGGACCGUGGUUCGAUUCUCGGCGUAGGUG
rfam:Stegodyphus mimosarum contig110605, whole genome shotgun sequence.